rnacentral:rRNA from 1 species
UACGUAGGCAGCGAGCGUUGUUCGGAAUUACUGGGCGUAAAGAGUGUGUAGGCGGUGCUCUAAGUUCGGUGUGAAAUCUCCCGCUUAACUGGGAGGGUGCGCCGGAAACUGGAGUGCUCGAACGUGGGAGAGGAAAGCGGAAUUCCUGGUGUAGCGGUGAAAUGCGUAGAUAUCAGGAGGAACACCGGUGGUGUAAACGGCUUUCUGGACCAUAACUGACGCUGAGGCACGAAAGCGUGGGUAGCAAACAGG